GAAGCCAGAAAGUGAUGGCACUGCCUCACUCAGCUCUGCCUCGAUCCAACGUCUGUGCUCCUUCCCGUCCAGACAAGCUGCUCCUUAACGAUCAGCUAACACCUGAACAGGCAUGGUCUCCAGCCAGGUGAAGUCCCUGCCUUGAGUAGCAGGAUGUGUUGAUGAUAAAGGAAGGAGGAGUUUCCCUGCACAACCUUUUUUUGCCUGCUGCCAUCCAUGUAAGAUGUGACUUGCUCCUCCUUGCCUUCUGCCAUGAUUGUGAGGCCUCCCCAACCACAUGAAACUGUUCUCGGGAGUAGGCUGUGGACAACUUUGGGGGGCCAUUAUUCUGUCUACCAUAGUGAGUAUCAGUAAGACUCGGUCCUCCUUGCCAUCUCAGGUCCCCACGCCCCAGUCAGGCAUGUAUACUGACUCUUGGCUCCUACUCUGCUAGACGACCUUGUGACUAUCUAGAAGUACAGACUCAGGCACCAUCCCAGGAGGUGGGGAGUGGCAGCUGCAGCUGCAUGCCACAAGGACCCCAGAUUCUCAGCAAGGAUUCUGGGCUUUUGUGAUUCCGAAGAAAGAGCCAGCAACACCAAAGAGGACAGUUCCACCAAAAGAUCUUAAAAAAUGUAAGGCUCAGGCAAUUACCCAUUAAUCACAAAACCUCAAUACAACUCCAGGGCCAGAGCCAAAGGCAAGGAUGGCCCUUCUGCAAAGAUCACUCUGGCUGAAAUUUGACUUAUUUUUCCACCAAAGAUUGACUUUGAUGCUUAAUUGAAUCUGAUUCCACUGGGAUAAAAAAUCUUAAUUGGAGAAGAGUUUGGGGGCAUUUACUCUAUUUCAUGCAUCACCAGUGGGAAGUUUGAAGCGGCAUAUUUUGGUUAAAUAUCAAGGACUUUUGAAGAGCAAGACCUGUUCAGGGUUGAAGAGGUUGCCUCAUGAAAAAGUCAGCUCUAAGCCUCCACUCACGUUCAGGGACGGGGAAGAACACCCAAACAGGUUGCUCCAGAAAGGAUUCUGGACUCAGAACCCAAACUGGAGGGAAAUAACACCCGAGGAAUCUCUUCCAUUGUCCAGAAGAGGUGCUGGCACUUUCAUGUGUACAUCUUCUCAAUCCCCAUGAUCUCAAUGAGGGUGAUGGUAUCAGUUCCAUUUUAUGGAUGCAGAAACUGAGGUGAUGCACGCAGUCUUGCCCCAAGUGACAAAUCUCAUCCAGCACAGAGCUAGGAGGAUGGUGUAGGUCUUUUUCUAUCCCACACACCUCUCUGGUUAGGCGUGAAGCCUGGAGGAACUUGGCUCUCCUUUGUGGGUUACUGAUUUUAUGACAGCACUGAGGGGGAAGGCUUAUUCUGUAUAUGGAGGCAGCUUUAUACAACAUGAUCUCCUUUCAUCCUCUCUACCUUCCUCUUAUCCUCACUUUAUAUGUGAGGAGAAAGGAGAGUCACAGAGUUCAAAUAACAAUGCUCAAGAUCAGAGCUGCUCAGUGGCAGACACAGAAUUCAGAGCCUGACUUGAGGCUCCAUGUCUGGGACUCUCUCCCCUGCCCCUUCACAGACGCUGCUUCCGGAAGCCCAGAGCUACUGAGCAUCCGAGGAACCAGGUGGUGGCUCCCAGAGCAGAGAGGCCACACCAGGUUCAAAAUCCAUCCUUGGUCUGACUUUUUGAGGGUUAAAAACACUUCGUAGAAAUUUCCAGUAGAAUUAUUAGUAUAUCUUGGUCACAUUUUAGAUAAACCAUCUUUCAGAAUCUCAUUGAGGAGGAAGUAAACUGAAGAGCUCUACAGGGCCUUAUGGAUACAGUUGCAGAGUGUGGGGAUCCCUGGCUCUUGCCUGCCAGCCAAAGAUGGACAAAAGGCGUUCCUGAGCUUUAUCUCAUGGGCCGGGAUGGAGAGGAGGCAGGGAAAUGGCCUUGCCCAGGAGGAGAACCAUAUGCACGUGGUUCUGGAACAUCUGUCAUAGUGGGGAAUGAAAAUGUCAAAGUAAGCAAAUAAUUGAAAAAGAAAAAAACACUGGCAGGGGGUGAUUAUUCCAAGAUGUUAACAUUUUGCCCUCAAACACAGGUUUUAGAAAAUUACAGGCACCUCUCUCUCUUCUCUCUCUUGCUCUGUCACAGACACACACACACACACACACACACACACACACACAGAGAUAC
rnacentral:lncRNA from 1 species